rnacentral:lncRNA from 12 species
CGAGCCCCGGCGGUCUAGCUGCCCAAAAGCAUUGUUUCAUUGGGAACGCUGUGAUGUGGACUAGUGGAACCACGGGAGCACCUCCCGGAUUGCGAGGAGCACAUGCAUCACCCAGGAAUCUUGAUGAAAUGCAGGGUCAGCACGAGAGUCGGGGCCAGAAUUUCCACUGCCGAUUGAGAAGAAGGAUGAAACCAUCGGUCCAUCGAGGCUGCUACCUGGUGUGCUGCGCAAACCCAUCCUUCGAAGGAAGAGCACACGACCGCACAGCAGGGCCCAGGGCCCAGGGUCCGGGUGAGUCCAGGUGAGACCCUGGCAUUCCACCGUGCGUCCCCAGUGACCUUGGCUGUGAAGGUACCGCCUCCCCAGUGCCUCGGCCUCCCCGUCUGCAAAGUGGGAACGACGUUG